GAGAGAAACAUGUCAUUUGGGAGUGAAUAUUGGAUAUUGAUAGAUAAACUACAUAUUCCUCAUAGUGAGACAAACAUGUAUUCUGCUCUUAUAGUUUUGCCUGAAACAUUUGAUAAUUGAGGAAGGCCUUGCUACACUUUUUGGAAAUGGUUAUCAACACGUGUUGUGAUUAUUAGUGCUAACGAAUAUGUAAAGAAGUCUUUUUUUUUAAUUCAAGUUUAGGGAUUUAAUCAUGAAAAAAGGACUUUUUUCGUUUAUAUUUUGAUACAUACAGGAAUUUUAUCUUCCAAAAUAGAACUUUUAUGUUAAUAACAAAGUGUGAGGACUUUAUUGUUAGUAAUUGCAAGAAGGGGAUACAUGUAAUUCUUUUAUGAAUU